CACGGGGUUGCGAGCGUUGUCCGGAAUCACUAGGCGUAAAGGGCAGGCAGGCGGAUCCAUAAGUUUAUCGUUUAAGGCGUCGGCUUAACCGGCGUAGGGCGGUAGAUACUGUGGAUCUGGAAUGCGGUUGGGGAAGACAGAAUUCCUGGUGUAGCGGUGGAAUGCGCAGAGAUCAGGAGGAAUACCGAAGGCGAAGGCAGUCUUCCAAGCCGUUAUUGACGCUCAACUGCGAAGGUGUGGGUAUCAAACAGGAUUAGAUACCCUGGUAGUCCCU
rnacentral:rRNA from 1 species